rnacentral:lncRNA from 1 species
CUUUACAACAAUCAUUCAAGAAAGACAUCAUUUAUGUUCAAAAUAUAUUCUUCCAUCACUUAGAGAUGUCUGUGGGUCCCAUUUUCUCAGUAAUUUUGGACAUAUCAUUAUGUCUGCCCAUCAUAUCAUGGUUUUUCAUAUUAGGAAAUAAUGAGAAGGCAAGAGGUGAGCUAAACAAACAGGAUCAAAUUCCUUCACUUCCAAGCCUCUUCACCCCAACCUUUUAUUUAAACCUUUCAGUACUUAGAUCAUUGAUUUAUUACUUCUAAACAUAAUGAUCAAUAUAUGUACUUUCAUAGGUGCUUGAUAGAGAUACGUGUUUGUAAGAAAAAUACCGUAUCACAUUAAAGUUUUCUUAAUAGACUUUUGAGCCAUCCAGACAGUAUGCCAGAAUCAAGUAUAAAUUCUAUAAAAAGAAGCAAAAUAAUAACUGAAUAGUGAUUAAUGCAGUGUCUAGCAACUAUAUUAAUUUUAGAAAGAUAAACUUGGUGUCUAAUAGAACUUAUAGAAUAGUUACACAUUCUCAAGUUUCCAAUGCACCUUUGGGAUUAUUUGGCCUAUUUAAUUCUUUUUCUGACUGAAGAAAUGGAGACUAGAGAACUAAUUUGAUAUUUGGAGUAACAAAAACUGACUUGAUGAACUACUACAUAAAGACUGUGAUACUGGGCACAUCAUUUAAAUGCACUAGUCCUUGCUUUCCUUGUCUGCAAAAUGGGUGUAAUCAUGCCAAAUCCAUAUAAAGUUGUCCUAAGAUUAAGUGAAUAUAUAUAUAUCUGGCUCGCAAUAGCCAGACACUCAGAAAAUGUUACCUGUUUUUCUACCUCCUGUCCAAGAAUACCAGCUUGCCAUUGACAGAUGUUUGCACAUUCAUUUAGUGAAUGCUUUCUUGAUUUUGUUUUUGGUUGUUUUCUUGAAUCUGAUUUCUAUUGUAUCUUUUUCACGACUCACCUGUGUUCAUCUGCUUUUGUGUUAAAACACUAUCUGGUUUCAGAUUAUUUAGGACUUUUGGAAAAUUGAUCUUCAUAACAGUAUCUCAAUAUAGCAUAUUUGAUGUUGUUUUUUAUCUUAAUCCCUGUUGUUUCACAUUUGUAUAAUUGCUUCGUCUUUCAUUUUGAGUAUUUUACCUAUUUCAUUUGCAUGUCAUGUUUUAAAAUUAUUCUGUUCCUUUUAGUGUUUGUAAUGAAUUUACGUCCCCAUAGAUUACCCAGAAGCUCCACCCAUCUGGGAAUUUUCACCGUAUCCAUCACUCCUAUUACAAAAUCACAUAUAAGAGAGAAUCUGUUUCACAGUCAGUACUUAACACAGCUGGAAUCAUUUGAAACCUGCUGGUUCUUGCUUCCAAUUAUUCCAUAGACUGGAAAGCAUCCCUGUUGAAGUAAUGGCAUCCAUGGUGUAAUCAAACCAGCUAAAAUGCCUCAAAGUAUAUGGAUCAUAUUUCUGAGAUUGAUUGAAUUCAUGGUAGAAGCAUAAUCACCAACAGCUUUUACUAUUUUUCUUAAUUUAACUUAUAUUCAUUUUAUAAGUAAGUUUUUCAUGUCUCAAUAUACAAGUUUGUAAUGUUUGAGUAUGUGAGUGACAUAAUAACAUAAAUGAGACACAACAAAUAAAAAUAUUACACACUACGGUAGUACCCCAAAAAUACCUUUUGAUAAUAUCCUGGGGCCAAAAUCAUUUCCUUUUGUUGGAACAGCUGAAACCAUCACGAUAAAGUUACUGAUUUGUAUUUAGAGCAGAAUGUAGUGGAGAUUUGUUACUAGUUCAAUUAACUUUAUCAACUAAAUAAGAAGUAGAUAUAGUCAAAUUUCAAUUGGCUUUGUUGUGAUUUUGAUUGAAUAAAUUAAAUAUGUAACUUCUUGUUGAACUU